UGGCGCUAAUAAACCCUAAAAUAUCUGUAAACUGCAUAAAACAAAGAGCCUGGAGCUGCUUAGUGGUGAGACUUUCAGCAGAUUCUGGUCCAAAGCUCAGCGCCCCAUAUGAAGUGUGGACUCAGUCCAAGUCACAUCAGGGAUCAGGGGUCAGGGUUGGGACAGAACGGCCUCUGGCCGUAACUUCACAUCCAAAAUGGCCGACUGGUCCCUGCUUAGCAUCCUGCUGCUAAAACCUACAACUGAACAGAUUUGAAAGAUAUUUCUGUUGGAGAUAUUUGUUCUGUUGUGACUUGUUGAAUACAGAAAAUUCAAUAUAAAUAUAACUUCUCAUGUUCAGUGAAACAAAAAUUAUUUCCAUACUUUACUUUUGAAAACUGAUUUUAUUCUAUUUUUUGCAACAGACAGAUCGCUCUGUGAACUUAUUUCAUAUUUCCAAGAUGGCAAAAAAAAGCACAUUAAAAUGUAAUAUUUUAUUUAUCAGUCUAUUUGCUAAUAGAGAAAGUAUUUUUACCCAUAAAAUCAUCUGUUUUAUGCAGCUAAACAUUAGUCUGGUAUAAAGUGGAGCUAAUAACAAAGAUCAAGUUCAGGACAAACACAUGGCAUAUCUAAAAUAUAAUAAAAAUGUCUGACGCUACAUUUGAAAAAUUAAAAGACUAAUGGAACUAAAAUGAACUUUUUAAAAGAAACUAUGAAUGUUGUGGCUUUAUGAACCAAAAGUGUAACAAUAAAUUCAUCAGUUUUCUGCUAAUCUAGUCUGAGAAGAAAAUAUUUGUUUAAAAAUCAUAAUAAAACCAAGCAGCUUUCUAUUCCACUCCCACAAAAAGCUUGAUAUAAAUUUCAUAAUUAUGCAGAAAGUUUUCCCCGUAAUAACUUUCUGCAAAAGAAAUUUAAAAUAAAUAUCAGUUCCUGCGUUUUGUGACUGAGAUUUUGAGACAAUAAAUUUUACAUUUUUUUCCAAUUGUGACUUCAUUAAAGUUUUUAGAAAGUUUUCAAAAGUGGUUAUUGUACAAUAAAUCUAAUCCAUCUUUAAGUUUAAUUUAAUAAAAUUGGGCCUAUUAACAGGAGAUGAGAAUAAAUUAUGAUGCAUUUAAUCCUAAAUUUUAUUCACAAAUGCUGCUUUCUAAAAAAUCACCUCCAUUUGAUAGGGAAAUUAUUUUAUUUGAGAGAGUGCUUAAACGUUGCCACAUCAUAAAAGCCCAAUUUUUAUUCCAAUAUGUUAAUAUCUUAAUGUAGGAUUUGACAUUUGUCUUUCAUUUGUGACAUUUUCUUUUACUUUCCUCAAUUUGUGAUUAUUCUUUUUAUUUCUUAUUUUUUCUGCUCAGUUUAUUAAUUUAACUUUUUAUUAUUAAUGUGCCUAGUCAUAAUAUUUUCUUUGAAUUUUCUAUAAAGACGGAGAAAACAAAACAUUACCACAAAUCCGCCUUUUAACUCAAAACGUCACGUGCAGCAAUGAAUUGUGGGUAAUACACUUCGCCGAAGUCCGUAAAAGUGCGGAUGUGGAGAAUGUGGGACACACUGCGACCUUUAACCUUCAACAUGAACGGCGUCUGAAGGAGGAACGAGGGCGGGACGGGACCGGACCGGACCGGAUCUCUGGCUCCAUCAGAAUCUUUUGUUUGGUUUUAUUUUGAAUCACAAGUUGAGCUUUACUGCCACCUACUGGACAUUGUUUGAUUUUCAGGCUGGACUCACGGUGACUGGCUGUCCAAACACAUUCAUCUGAAAGAAGCUGCAAAUGAAGCCACAAAACCACCAACGGCUAAACUAUUUCCAACUGAAGUUAGCUAGCAGGCUAGGGUAGCAAAGCAGUAGACGAGGCGCCAUGUCAGCGGUCUGGAGGUCCAAGAGGAUCAACACCAGCAAUCUGAGAAAACAGUUAGAAAUCAGCAAGCCACAGAGUUCAAGGAGUUUUGCAACAGCAGCAACAACCACCCCUGUAGUAAUCUCUGAAUUAAUAACUCCGUUUCUCAGCCAACAGUUUGAUCGGAUUGCCAGUUUUGGUACUUUGCAGAUAUUUGGAGAUCUUCUCAAAAUCUCCAAAGUAGGAGAUUGCUAGCCAUCACCAAGUUGCCUGAGCUUCAGGACUUGGUGAAGAUGAAUGUUUUCAGUUGAAAAGUGGGAGGACUGAACGAGUAUGGUUCUGUUGGUUCUGGUCGGUAAAAUACUGUAGAGUAGUCCUACAGUUAAAAUACUCUGACCUUGUAGUUCUGUUGUAGUUAAAUGUACUGAAUGAAAACAAAAUUUUC